rnacentral:misc_RNA from 1 species
AGAGAGAGAGAGAGAGAGAGAGAGAGAGAGAGAGAGAAAGAGAGGAAUUAGCAGAGAAAAAAUUACUUUUGAAUGGUUUCUUUGUUUUCAAUGUAUUUUUUUAUUGUUAAUUGUUGACUUGUUUAUUGUGAUUUCUGUUAAACAAGACGAGGAAAACUCUACAAAUUGUAAUGUUUUUUGAAAAUCAUAUAAUGUACUGCUUGUAACAUUCCAGUGAAGUGUGUUCUUUUCACGCUUGAUGUUUUACAAGAAGCUAAAAAAGAAUGGCAAAAUUAACCCGACUACAUGCUUCAAAUUCAGACAUUACUAAAACCUACUUACUGUAAGUAAAGACGAGUUUGAGUAUCUAAGAAGGUUUAAAAGUUUAAAAUAUGUAUCUUAUCAAUCGUAAUGUUGUUAUUAUUUGUGAGAAACUAAGUCAAACAUAAUUAAUAAAAUGUUUAUAAAACAG